rnacentral:rRNA from 1 species
AAAGGAAUAGACGGGGGCCCGCACAAGCGGUGGAGCAUGUGGAUUAAUUCGAAGCAACGCGAAGAACCUUACCAAGGCUUGACAUGGGAGCGCAAGCCCCGGAAACGGGGCCCCCCUUCGGGGCGCUCCACACAGGUGGUGCAUGGUUGUCGUCAGCUCGUGUCGUGAGAUGUUGGGUUAAGUCCCGCAACGAGCGCAACCCUUGCGUCCAGUUGCCAGCGGAUAAAGCCGGGCACACUGGAGGGACUGCCGUGGACAACACGGAGGAAGGCGGGGACGACGUCAAAUCAUCAUGCCCCUUAUGCCUUGGGCUUCACACGUGCUACAAUGGCCCAUACAACGCGACGCUAUGCGGCGACGCGGAGCGAAACGCCAAAAAGGGCCUCAGUUCGGAUUGCAGGCUGCAACCCGCCUGCAUGAAGCAGGAAUCGCUAGUAAUCGCGAAUCAGCAUGUCGCGGUGAAUACGUUCCCGGGCCUUGCACACACCGCCCGU